AUUGAACGCUGGCGGCAGGCUUAACACAUGCAAGUCGAGCGGGGUGAUGGUGCUUGCACUAUCACUUAGCGGCGGACGGGUGAGUAAUGCUUAGGAAUCUGCCUAUUAGUGGGGGACAACAUCUCGAAAGGGAUGCUAAUACCGCAUACGUCCUACGGGAGAAAGCAGGGGAUCACUUGUGACCUUGCGCUAAUAGAUGAGCCUAAGUCGGAUUAGCUAGUUGGUGGGGUAAAGGCCUACCAAGGCGACGAUCUGUAGCGGGUCUGAGAGGAGGAUCCGCCACACGGGGGCUGGGACACGGACCAGAGGCCUACGGGAGGCAGCAGUGGGGAAUAUUGGACAAUGGGGGGAACCCUGAUCCGGCCAUGCCGCGUGUGUGAAGAAGGCCUUAUGGUUGUAAAGCACUUUAAGCGAGGAGGAGGCUCUUUUGGUUAAUACCCAAGAUGAGUGGACGUUACUCGCAGAAUAAGCACCGGCUAACUCUGUGCCAGCAGCCGCCGUAA
rnacentral:rRNA from 1 species